UGCGCGGCUACACAUGCAAGUCGGACGGUAGCACAGGGGAGCUUGCUCCCCGGGUGACGAGUGGCGGACGGGUGAGUAAUGUCUGGGAAACUGCCCGGUGGAGGGGGAUAACUACUGGAAACGGUAGCUAAUACCGCAUAACGUCUUCGGACCAAAGUGGGGGAUCUUCGGACCUCACGCCACCGGAUGUGCCCAGAUGGGAUUAGCUAGUAGGUGGGGUAACGGCUCACCUAGGCGACGAUCCCUAGCUGGUCUGAGAGGAUGACCAGCCACACUGGAACUGAGACACGGUCCAGACUCCUACGGGAGGCAGCAGUGGGGAAUAUUGCACAAUGGGCGCAAGCCUGAUGCAGCCAUGCCGCGUGUAUGAAGAAGGCCUUCGGGUUGUAAAGUACUUUCAGCGGGGAGGAAGGCGGUGAGGUUAAUAACCUCGCCGAUUGACGUUACCCGCAGAAGAAGCACCGGCUAACUCCGUGCCAGCAGCGGGGGU
rnacentral:rRNA from 1 species